CACCAUAUGUAUAUUUCAAGUUGAGUUUUAAAUUUAUUUUAUAGAUUUCAGUUUAUGUAAUGGAGACCAAAGCUUGGAUAUAUAUGUAUCUAUUUCCAUUUUAUAAUCUUGUUCACAUAAAAAAAUCCCUGUCUUUACAGUGGAUACUAUAACUUUCAUUGUAAAACAACUAACAUUAUAACCUUGAUUCCUAGAUCACAGAACUUGAAACAGUAGCUAUUUAUUCUCAUAGAAAGGUGACCAUCUAUCUUUGAAAACUGAAUUGAUACACCAUCAUUUUUAUUAACAUUAAUAUUCUGAUAAAAAGUACUUCUUUAAAAUUAAUACUUUUCUAUAUAAUACCUAUAUAUUACAUAAAUACUAAAAUUAUACCUCGAUUUUGCUAGUGGUGUCUCUUCCCUAAAUAUUUGUUUCUUUAAUGAGUAGUGGUAUUUUCUGGACUUUGAAUUGUAUUGAUAAAUGGCGUGAGUUUUCAUGACUAAUCUGACUUCCCCUUUCCUUUUCUUUCAUCUCCUCAGACAUUUUGCAAUGUAGAUUUUCAUUAAAGGCCUGAUGAUUUCAACUGGUUGCUGUCACACGAUCUCUUCAUCAGUCCACUUUCAGGUUACUGAGAGUAGUGCUUUUCAUCCUUUGUCACCACCAUAUCACCAGCACCUGCAUAGGCAACCACAGCAUAAAUGGACAAAUGUGAUGACAUCAAGUUAAAAACUUCUGAACAGCAAAGGAAGCAAUCAGCAAAGUGAAGAGGUAACA
rnacentral:lncRNA from 10 species